UACGGGGGGGGCAAGCGUUGUUCGGAAUUACUGGGCGUAAAGGGCUCGUAGGCGGCCAACUAAGUCAGACGUGAAGUCCCUCGGCUUAACCGGGGAACUGCCUCUGAUACUGGAUGGCUUGAGAUUGGGAGAGGGAUGCGGAAUUCCAGGUGUAGCGGUGAAAUGCGUAGAUAUCUGGAGGAGCACCGGUGGCGAAGGCGGCAUCCUGGACCAACACUGACGCUGAGGAGCGAAAGCUAGGGGAGCAAACAGG
rnacentral:rRNA from 1 species